rnacentral:misc_RNA from 1 species
UCCGGUUUGUCACCGGCAGUCUCAUUAGAGUGCCCAACUAAAUGUAGCAACUAAUGACAAGGGUUGCGCUCGUUGCGGGACUUAACCCAACAUCUCACGACACGAGCUGACGACAGCCAUGCAGCACCUGUGUUACGGUUCUCUUUCGAGCACUAAGCCAUCUCUGGCGAAUUCCGUACAUGUCAAAGGUGGGGAUGACGUCGGAGAGUACGUCC